ACAACAGCCCUGGGCACCAAAGUCCUUUCUCUAGACACAGAAACGGUACAGCACCAGCAGCGCAAGCUUCCUCCAUUCAGUCCCGGUAAUGAGCCUCCAUCCUGACCUGAAGAGACCACUUCUACUAGUGUUACUAUCACGAUGCCUAUGAGCAUUAAUCACGGACCCUG
rnacentral:sRNA from 1 species